GGCGAGGUGGCCAAGUGGUAAGGCAGAGGUCUGCAAAAUCUCCAUCGCGGGUUCGAUUCCCGCCCUCGCCUCCA
rnacentral:tRNA from 2 species